GACCUUGAAAUACCACCCUUUAAUGUUUGAUGUUCUAACGUUGACCCGUAAUCCGGGUUGCGGACAGUGUCUGGUGGGUAGUUUGACUGGGGCGGUCUCCUCCUAAAGAGUAACGGAGGAGCACGAAGGUUGGCUAAUCCUGGUCGGACAUCAGGAGGUUAGUGCAAUGGCAUAAGCCAGCUUGACUGCGAGCGUGACGGCGCGAGCAGGUGCGAAAGCAGGUCAUAGUGAUCCGGUGGUUCUGAAUGGAAGGGCCAUCGCUCAACGGAUAAAAGGUACUCCGGGGAUAACAGGCUGAUACCGCCCAAGAGUUCAUAUCGACGGCGGUGUUUGGCACCUCGAUGUCGGCUCAUCACAUCCUGGGGCUGAAGUAGGUCCCAAGGGUAUGGCUGUUCGCCAUUUAAAGUGGUACGCGAGCUGGGUUUAGAACGUCGUGAGACAGUUCGGUCCCUAUCUGCCGUGGGCGCUGGAGAACUGAGGGGGGCUGCUCCUAGUACGAGAGGACCGGAGUGGACGCAUCACUGGUGUUCGGGUUGUCAUGCCAAUGGCACUGCCCGGUAGCUAAAUGCGGAAGAGAUAAGUGCUGAAAGCAUCUAAGCACGAAACUUGCCCCGAGAUGAGUUCUCCCUGACUCCUUGAGAGUCCUGAAGGAACGUUGAAGACGACGACGUUGAUAGGCCGGGUGUGUAAGCGC
rnacentral:rRNA from 1 species